UCUUCAUCUAUUCUUUCAAGGAAUGAUUUGUUAUUUCUUUAUCCUAAAUUAUCACUUCUCUCUAAACAGUUUUUAAAAUGUUCUAUACAUUCUUCUAUUUUCAUUUCAUCCUUUUGACAUCCUUUACAUUUAAAAGUUAUAUAUUUAUAUUCUUCUGCUAAAUUUUCAGCUUUUUCUAUGACCAUGUCUACUUCAUAUCCUACUUGUAGAACUUCUAUAUUCAUAAACUCGCUCUCUGUUUCUAUAUUACUCUCUAUUUCUUCUUCGUCUAAAUUUCUUUUAGUUGCGUAACUAUAAUCUGUAAA
rnacentral:lncRNA from 1 species